GGAUCGGCUGAGGUCGCCGCCGGCGUGAAACCCAACGCUCGGCCUCGUCGCCGCCGCCAACUCCAUACGCCGGCGACGAGCCACCGCUGCGCCUAGUUCCCCCUCACCUUCCCCAUCCAUCCGUGGGCUCCGCUUUCCCUCAACAUGAACGCCCUCGUCGCAAAUCCCUCGUUAUGCUCCUUCAAUCCCCGCCCUUCACUUAGCCCUAGAACUGUUGGCCGC
rnacentral:misc_RNA from 1 species